CGGCGGACGGGUGAGUAACGCGUGGAUAACCUGCCUCACACAGGGGGAUAACAGUUAGAAAUGACUGCUAAUACCGCAUAAGCGCACAGUACCGCAUGGUACAGUGUGAAAAACUCCGGUGGUGUGAGAUGGAUCCGCGUCUGAUUAGGUAGUUGGUGGGGUAACGGCCCGCCAAGCCGACGAUCAGUAGCCGACCUGAGAGGGUGACCGGCCACAUUGGGACUGAGACACGGCCCAAACUCCUACGGGAGGCAGCAUG
rnacentral:rRNA from 1 species